rnacentral:rRNA from 1 species
UCGGCGGAGAUUUGGGAGAGAUUUGAAACCGGAGCUAAUACCGGAUAAUAUUUUGAACCGCAUGGUUCAAAAGUGAAAGACGGUCUUGCUGUCACUUAUAGAUGGAUCCGCGCUGCAUUAGCUAGUUGGUAAGGUAACGGCUUACCAAGGCAACGAUGCAUAGCCGACCUGAGAUUGGGUGAUCGGCCACACUGGAACUGAGACACGGUCCAGACUCCUACGGGAGGCAGCAGUAGGGAAUCUUCCGCAAUGGGCGAAAGCCUGACGGAGCAACGCCGCGUGAGUGAUGAAGGUCUUCGGAUCGUAAAACUCUGUUAUGAGAUAGGGAAGAACAUAUGUGUUUAAGUAACUGUGCACAUCUUGACGGUACCUAAUCAGAAAGCCACGGCUAACUACGUGCCAGCAGCCGCGGUAAUACGGUGUUAGGUGGCAAGCGUUAUCCGGAAUUAUUGGGCGUAAAGCGCGCGUAGGCGGUUUUUUAAGUCUGAUGUGAAAAGAGAUUGCCCACGGCUCAACCGUGGAGGGUCAUUGGAAACUGGAAAACUUGAGUGCAGAAGAGGAAAGUGGAAUUCCAUGUGUAGCGGUGAAAUGCGCAGAGAUAUGGAGGAACACCAGUGGCGAAGCGACUUUCUGGUCUGUAACUGACGCUGAGAUUGAUGUGCGAAAGCGU